rnacentral:rRNA from 1 species
GACGGGUUAGUAACGCGUGGGAACGUACCCAGAUCUAAGGAAUAGCCACUGGAAACGGUGAGUAAUACCUUAUACGCCCUUCGGGGGAAAGAUUUAUCGGAUUUGGAUCGGCCCGCGUUAGAUUAGAUAGUUGGUGGGGUAACGGCCUACCAAGUCUACGAUCUAUAGCUGGUUUUAGAGGAUGAUCAGCAACACUGGGACUGAGACACGGCCCAGACUCCUACGGGAGGCAGCAGUGGGGAAUCUUGGACAAUGGGCGCAAGCCUGAUCCAGCCAUGCCGCGUGAGUGAUGAAGGCCUUAGGGUCGUAAAGCUCUUUCGCCAGGGAUGAUAAUGACAGUACCUGGUAAAGAAACCCCGGCUAACUCCGUGCCAGCAGCCGCGGUAAUACGGAGGGGGUUAGCGUUGUUCGGAAUUACUGGGCGUAAAGCGCGCGUAGGCGGGUUGUUAAGUUAGAGGUGAAAUCCCGGGGCUCAACCCCGGAACUGCCUUUAAUACUGGCAACCUAGAGUUCGAGAGAGGUGAGUGGAAUUCCGAGUGUAGAGGUGAAAUUCGUAGAUAUUCGGAGGAACACCAGUGGCGAAGGCGGCUCACUGGCUCGAUACUGACGCUGAGGUGCGAAAGUGUGGGGAGCAAACAGGAUUAGAUACCCUGGUAGUCCACACCGUAAACGAUGAAUGCCAGUCGUCGGGU